rnacentral:rRNA from 1 species
AACCCGUGACAGGUGCUGCAUGGCUGUCGUCAGCUCGUGUCGUGAGAUUGUUGGGUUAAGUCCCGCAACGAGCGCAACCCUUGUCUUUAAUUGCCAUCAUUUAGUUGGGCACUUUAAGAGACUGCCGGUGUUAAGCCGGAGGAAGUGGGAUGACGUCAAGUCCUCAUGGCCUUUAUGCCCAGGGCUACACACGUGCUACAAUGGGCGGUACAAUAGGUUGCGAAGCCGCGAGGCGGAGCCAAUCCAGCAAAACUUCCCUCAGUUCAGAUUGCAGGCUGCAACUCGCCUGCAUGAAGUUGGAGUUGCUAGUAAACGCAGGUCAGCCAUACUGCGUUGAAUACGUUCCCGGGGCUU